GUGCUUGCUUCAGCAGCACAUGUACCAAAAUUGAAAUGAUACAGAGAAGGUUAGCAUGGCCCCUACACAAGGAUGACAGGCAAAUUCAUGAAGUGUUCCAU
rnacentral:snRNA from 1 species